rnacentral:rRNA from 1 species
UACGGGGGGUGCAAGCGUUGUUCGGAAUUAUUGGGCGUAAAGCGUGCGUAGGCGGAUUAUUAAGUCUGAUGUGAAAUCCCUCGGCUCAACCGAGGACCUGCAUUGGAUACUGGUAGUCUUGAGUCCCGGAGAGGAUAGCGGAAUUCCUAGUGUAGAGGUGAAAUUCGUAGAUAUUAGGAGGAACACCAGUGGCGAAAGCGGCUAUCUGGACGGUGACUGACGCUGAGGCACGAAAGCAUAGGUAGCAAACAGG